rnacentral:rRNA from 1 species
CUUGCAUCAAUAUAAGAGGUCCAGCCUGCCCAGUGACCCAGUUCAACGGCCGCGGUAUCCUAACCGUGCGAAGGUAGCGUAAUCACUUGUUCUUUAAAUGAGGACUAGUAUGAAUGGCACCACGAAGGUUACGCUGUCUCCUUUUUCUAAUCAAUGAAACUAAUCUCCCCGUGAAGAAGCGGGGAUUUAAAUAUAAGACGAGAAGACCCUAUGGAGCUUCAAACUAUAUAGCAUUGGCUUUUAUCCACUUAUACCCCCGGGCUCUCAUACUAACUCUAGCCUUUUAACUAUUAGUUUUGGGUUGGGGUGACCACGGAGCAAAAAUUAUCCUCCAUGAUGAACAGAGCUAUUCUUGAACCAAAAGCCACAACUUUAAGCACCAAUAAACUGACACAGUUGACCCAAUAUUUUGAGCAACGAAC